rnacentral:rRNA from 1 species
UGGGGAAUAUUGCACAAUGGGCGCAAGCCUGAUGCAGCCAUGCCGCGUGUAUGAAGAAGGCCUUCGGGUUGUAAAGUACUUUCAGCGGGGAGGAAGGGAGUAAAGUUAAUACCUUUGCUCAUUGACGUUACCCGCAGAAGAAGCACCGGCUAACUCCGUGCCAGCAGCCGCGGUAAUACGGAGGGUGCAAGCGUUAAUCGGAAUUACUGGGCGUAAAGCGCACGCAGGCGGUUUGUUAAGUCAGAUGUGAAAUCCCCGUGCUCAACCUGGGAACUGCAUCUGAUACUGGCAAGCUUGAGUCUCGUAGAGGGGGGUAGAAUUCCAUGUGUAGCGGUGAAAUGCGUAGAGAUGUGGAGGAAUACCGGUGGCGAAGGCGGCCCCCUGGACAAAGACUGACGCUCAGGUGCGAAAGCGUGGGGAGCAAACAGG